CAGAUAACCGAGCGCUAGCGAAAUCCGGAUCACGAUCUCAAACAUCCACACUAGAAAGGAAGAAGGACACGAAACACAUGCAUCACAGGGUGUAUCUAGGAACAUAAACGCGGGAGGAGACGGAGCAACGACACCGUCGGCCGGGGCGGUGACGCGACGGGAGGGCAGGGGUACGAGAUCAGUCGUCGCGCUUCUUGAGCUUGUCGACGCGCUGCUGGAGGUGGUCGAGCUUGACGACGAGGGAGGUGACGGAGAAGAGGAUCCAGUAGAGGAGCAGCGCGGCGGCGAUGAGGAGGGCGUUGCGCUGGGACUUCAUGAUGGACUUCUGGUGGCGGAGGUGCUCGGAGGGGGUGCAGGCGUGCUCGUCGUCGCAGGUGGGCCGCAUCUCGUACUUCCAGUAGAUGUCCAUGAGCAGGAAGAGGCAGAAGGGCACCACCGACAUCAUGGGCUUGAGCGCGCUCCGCACGACGGAGAUCAUCCCGCGCCGGAGCGCGUCCAGACCCGGCAGC
rnacentral:lncRNA from 1 species